GCAUUGAUGGUUCAGUGGUAGAAUUCUUGCCUUUCGGGCAGGAGACCCAGGUUGGAUUCCCAGCUAGUGUA
rnacentral:tRNA from 1 species